rnacentral:misc_RNA from 1 species
UAAGCACUGACUAGCGAGGCUGUAG